rnacentral:rRNA from 1 species
UCGAGAAUCUUCCGCAAUGGGCGCAAGCCUGACGGAGCGACGCCGCGUGGAGGAAGAAGGCCUUCGGGUUGUAAACUCCUGUCAGAGUUUAUGAAUGCGUGCGGGUUAAUACCCCGUCACGUUGACAAAGGACUCAAAGGAAGCCACAGCUAACUUCGUGCCAGCAGCUGCGGUAAUACGAAGGUGGCGAGCGUUGUUCGGAUUCACUGGGCAUAAAGGGCGCGUAGGCGGUCCUGUAAGCGGAGGGUGAAAGCCCGGGGCUCAACCCCGGAACUGCUCUCCGAACUGCAGGGCUAGAGGACGAGAGGGGGCUUUGGAACUCUAGGUGGAGCGGUGAAAUGCGUAGAUAUCUAGAGGAACGCCGGUGGCGAAAGCGAAAGCCUGGCUCGUUUCUGACGCUGAGGCGCGAAAGCGUGGGUAGCAAACAGGAUUAGAUACCCCCGUAGUCC